GGGAAAGUCUAACUCUGCUUCAAAAUAGCUUUGGCGAUGCAGUUUCUGCAGUCUGCUCUACUGCUUUAGUUGCCAAUAAAUUCAUAACAUCAACUCAUAGGUUAUCAGCAGAAGGACCAGGAAUAGGAACUGAGAACUCUCUACAUUUUUUCUAAAGUAAACUCUUCUUGUGGAAUGAUCAUUCUGAAGAUGCUUCAAGUUGCUAGCAGUGCAGACCCAGCAGGCUAUGUGGGAUACAGAAGCUCUGGAGAAGCACAUCAGAGGAGCCCCAGCACACAUCAUGAGACUGCCUGCUCUAUUUCCUCUGGCAGACCUGGAAGAAGUACAGCCUGGGAUGAGCAUGACUGAACAGCAAAUAAGCAGAGUGUAUUUGUCUCUGUCUGGAACGUUUUGUGUGUAUGAGACAGUCCCACAUGUUUUUUCAGGACCACCCUGUCUUGUUUUGAAUGGUGUUCACAGAAACCUGAGUGUGAUGGUAGUAAAUAAAGAAAAGGUUGUGGCUGUGCUGGGGAAGCUCCCCUAGCUGGCCGUCUACUUAUUUGUGUUCUUACAUUGCCACCCUCUGGAUUUAAACACUGCCACUCUAUGGGCAGUUAAGUUUGAGAAAGGCACGCUUAUAAAGUACAAGCCUAAACACACCACUGUAGACAUGCAUUGUUACUAUCACUAUUCAAGUACAUUCAUCUCUUGUAAAUUUCUCAUCUGUUGCUGUAAAGAUUUUUUUAAAGGCUGAUUUGAGGAAGUGUAGCAGAGCUACAAAUCUUUUGAGUGUUCUCCAAGCCCUCCAAAAAAAAAAAAAAAUAGAUAUGAGAAUUGAUGAUAGUCUGCAUGAGCUGAAGAAACUACACCCUUCUCUAUACUGAAUAAGAGCAGAGAGUAUUAAUUGAACAUUUGUGGAGGCAAGAAUACACUAUAAGUUCUAACUAUAGUUAUAGGUAUAAGGUUAUUUGGCCAAAUCACCCAAGUAUGAGGUUCAACAAGGGCAAACAUUGGUUCUUGCACCUGGGGAGGAAUAACUACACACAUCAGAAAAAGUUAAGGAAUGACCUGCUGGAAAUCAUUUGUGAGCAGAAGAACCUUGAUGUCCUGGUGGGCAACAGGUUGUCCAUGAGCCGGCAGUGUGCCUUUGCACCCAAGAAGGUCUAUUGUACCCUGGGGUGCACCUAGAAGAGUGUGGUCAGCAGGUCAAGGGGGUAAUCCUUUGCCCUGGUGAGGCCACAUCUGGAGUAUCAUGUCAAGUUCUGGGCUCAGUUCAAAAAAGACAGGGGCUUCUAGAGAGUCCAGCAAAAAGCCAUAGUGAUGAUUAAGGUCCUAGAGCAUCUCCCCUAUGAGAAAAGUCUAUGAAACCUGGGACUUCUCAGUAUGGAGAAGGCUGACAGGGGAUAUUAUAACUUUUAUGAAUAUCUGAAGUGUGGGAGUUAAGUCAAUGGGAGCAAUAGAACAAGGGCAGAAACUGGAACACAGAAAGUUCAUACAAACACAGGGAAGAACUUUGCUGUGAGUGACAGAGCACUGGAACAAACUGCCCAUAGAGUUUGUGGAGUACCCUCAUCAGGGGAUAUUUAUAGCCCAUCUGGAUGCCUUCCUGUGCAAUAUUCUGUCAGGAAUCUUCUUUAGCAGAGAGGUUGGACUCGAUGACCUCGAGAAGUCCCUUCCAACCUCUAUAAUUCUGUGAAUCUGUGAAGUACACUGAAUACAGAUGCCAUGAAUACCAAUCCUCACACAAGAACAACACCUACUGCUGCACCAUGUUGAAAUUUGCUCUUUCCCAAGUAUUGAAGGAUAUAUUCAGUCUUCCUGACCUACAUUUCUAUCAAGAGAUUGCCAAUGAAAUUCUAACAUCUGUAGUUGUGUGAAUGUCAGAUGUACAAAACUGAAAGGGAAGAAAGUGCAGGAUACCAAGUAAACACUUGUAUCUUUUCAUAUAAAAUGUAAAAACUAAUUUUAUAUAAUAAAUACCUUCAUUCAGAAUUGCUCAUAUCUGAGAAAGUACUGCAUUAAGAAAAAAUGGUAAGCAAAGUCUAUGCAUGUUUUUGCUAUAGGAGGGAUGAUGUAUUCUUUUCAUGAAGCAUUUCAAUUACUUUCCAACAUUUGUGGCCUUGUCAUUCCAGCUGUGUAUGGCAUUGUACUUGGUACUUUUUAAAGAGCAUCUUAUCAAUUGAAGAGAGAUGCUGACAAGACUGAAAAGAGCACAGUGAAGACAGUAAAGGGGACAGAGUGGCAUACAAAGAGAAGCUGAAUAAACUGGAUUUUUUUAGCCUUGAGAAGACAGGGAUGGUUUCUAACUUCAGUUCUCAGUUAUCUCUUGGAGAGUUACAGACUACAGAUUCUUCAUGUGGGUGCACAAUGAAAGAACAGGAGGCAACAACUGCAGUUGCAGAAAUGAGAAUUUGUGCUAUUUAUAAAAAAUUCCCCUUCAACACGAGAGUGGUUAAGUUCUACAGCAGAUCACCUUGAAAAACUGUGAAAUUUGCUUUACUGAAGAUUUUCAGAUUUGGUGGGACAAGGUCCCCAAGACAUACUUGGGGAAUAGGUUACCACAUGCUACUGGGGAAAGAUGAGGGGUUUAAAAUUCUUUUAUGCUCUGACUGUCACAGUGCAGAAUUCCUGAAGAAAAAAACACCAGCCUUCCAAAAAUGAUCCUCUGUGAAUAAAGAGUGUUGGUCAUAAGAGGGAAGGCUCCUUGCUCCUUUGUGUUGUCAGACUGUUUAACACAAAUACAAAGUUUGAAGAGUGAAAGAUCUUCCAGACUAGAAUUGAGAUAUAAUUAAUUACCUAUCAACCUGGUUUGCAGUCACAGAAAAGGUCUGCAGAAAAAAAAUUCUCUUCAAAAGACAUUUUUAAAAAUCGAUUGCUUGUUGAGAUACAGGGAGGUAGGACACAUGAACUGGUACACGUUACAACUUUAACUACCAUCAUAAAGGUGCCACUUUAACUCUUAGUAAACAAAAUGAUGGAAUUUUGCAUGGUAACAUUGUGAGUUCCCUUGUGAAACCACUCCAACUCAGAAAUUAAUACUCUCCCAAAUCACUAGCUUUUUUUGCUAUUUUUCAUUUGAUUGUUUUAUUUAUGUUUGUUUGCUUGCUUGGCUGGCUGUUUCAUUUCAGUUGGGUUUGGCGGGGGUUUUCAGGUUGCUCAUUUUUUGUUUUGGUUUGUUCCUCUUCUGUAACUACUAUAUCUAUGGAAAGAACACCUGAAGCUUCAAAAAAGAAAAAAAAAAUGCAUUCCUAGCCUGAGAUUUUGUGAAAUCUGACCAUUAAAAAAAUAAGUAUAUAAUAUGAGUCUUGAAGUCUAGCAAUUGGCACUGUUCUGUAGUAAAAAAAUAAAUAAAUAUGACUG
ensembl:lncRNA